rnacentral:rRNA from 1 species
GACGAACGCUGGCGGCGUGCCUAAUACAUGCGAGUAGAACGCUGAAGGAGGAGCUUGCUUCUCUGGAUGAUUUGCGCACGGGUGAGUAACGCGUAGGUAACCCGCCUGGUAGCGGGGGAUAACUAUUGGAAACGAUAGCUAAUACCGCCUAAGAGUAGAUGUUGCAUGACAUUUGCUUAAAAGGUGCAAUUUCAUCACUACCAGUUGGACCUGCGUUGUAUUAGCUAGUUGGUGGGGUAACGGCUCACCAAGGCGACGAUACAUAGCCGACCUGGGAGGGUGAUCGGCCAAACUUGGACUGGGACCAGGGCCAGGCUCCUACGGGAGGCAGCAGUAGGGGAUCUUCGGCAAUGGACGGAAGUCUGACCGAGCAACGCCGCGUGAGGGAAGAAGGUUUUCGGAUCGUAAAACUCUGUUGUAAGAGAAGAACGAGUGUGGGAGUGGAAAGUGCACACUGUGACGGUAUCUUACCAGAAAGGGACGGCUAACUACGUG